rnacentral:snRNA from 1 species
AUUACCCCUUCGGAAUAUCCAAUAAAAUUGAAAUGACACAGAGAAGAUUAGCAUGACUCUGUGCAAUUGGAAUGACACAGAAAAAACUAAUGUAGACUCUACAAAA